rnacentral:lncRNA from 1 species
GCAGUGUGUGCACGGGUGAAGGUGUUGUGGUUGACUGUGUGCUUAGGAAAUAAGAUUAUUAAUGGGAUAGUGUGUGUCUGUGUCAUGCCGGGUGGCUUUUAGGACUUUGUCUGAUGACUUGAGACUAAUUUUGGUUUGGCAAGUGCGGCUGAGAGAGGUGGGGGAUGGGUGGGAAGGAAAUGGGGGAACCCAAGUAUGAUGGGGGUACUUUUUCAGCCCCCAGUUAGCCCAAGAAGUGGCUUCUGCAGCCCCCAGCCCCAGCAUGCAUGCUCUCCGGGGCGAGGUCCCCGGGA